CUUUUGCUAUUUUGUGACGUCAUAAUGGUCACAUAUACGCCAAUAAGAAUUCGAUGGACAUUAAUCUCUAACCUUAAACUCAAGUCAUCUUUGAUCACCUCCAAACACAUAUAAACAAGGUCAUAUUUUAUUCGGAAUCGCCCCAUUUCCUUUCAACAGUUUCCAUGACAAAAUCUCUCAUCCGUCCACAGUUUCUGAAAUGCACAAUAUGACGAUGCACUUCUGAUGGAUAUUUGAUUCCGACACAAGAAGCAGUUUCGUUUUAUGCCUGCAAACUACCAAUUAAUUGAAAAUCUGGUUGAGAUUAAUUCCAUGUUGUUGUUGUUGAUAAUAUUACUGCACUCUUUCAAGGCGGCACGUUGGCAGAAACGAUAGCACGCCAGGCGAAAUGCUUAGCGGUAUUUCGUCUUCCGAGGUCGACUUUGCCUUUCAUCCUCUCGGGGUCGAUUAAAUAAAUACCAGUUACGCACUGGGGUCGAUAUAAUCUA